rnacentral:lncRNA from 1 species
GGCUUAUCCAGGUGGAGGGGUUGUGCACCCUGGCAUUUGCUCCAACAGGGAAAUGCGAUGAGCAGCUAUAUCCCGCUGGGCUAAAUCAGAAGGGGCUCACACUCAUCUUUCCAUUUGGAGACCAAAUUGAUUUCUCAGAACUCAGGAGCAUUGAUGGUACCUCUCAUCUAUGUCAUCCUAGAAUUCUAGUUAUUUUUUCCUUCUGUCGUGUGACCCAAAUAAAUUCUGUCUUCCUGAGGAAUGGGAGAGUAUUUAGCAAUUUGUUUACAGUUAUCAGACAUCAAAUGAGUAAAUCUAGAAACUUCCUUUUAACCACAUGGUUUAUAUUGGAAGAAAUAUGUAAAGUAAUAUAGCUGUGAAGUGAUCUUGUUUGGAGGGU